rnacentral:rRNA from 1 species
AAUAUUGCGCAAUGGAGGGAACUCUGACGCAGCGACGCCGCGUGAGUGAUGAAGGUCUUCGGAUCGUAAAGCUCUGUCCUUGGGGAAGAAGAUCUUCGGAUUUGACGGUACCCAAGGAGGAAGCCCCGGCUAACUACGUUCCAGCAGCCGCGGUAAUACGUAGGGGGCAAGCGUUGUCCGGAAUUAUUGGGCGUAAAGGGUGCGUAGGCGGCCAAUAAAGUCAGAGGUGAAAGCCCACGGCUCAACCGUGGUAAGCCUUUGAAACUUAAUGGCUUGAGUGCAGGAGAGGAGAGUGGAAUUCCUAGUGUAGCGGUGAAAUGCGUAGAUAUUAGGAGGAACACCAGUGGCGAAGGCGACUCUCUGGACUGUAACUGACGCUGAGGCACGAAAGCGUGGGGAGCAAACA